rnacentral:rRNA from 1 species
GAGUUUGAUCAUGGCUCAGGACGAACGCUGGCGGCGUGCCUAAUACAUGCAAGUCGAGCGGACUUAAAAAGCUUGCUUUUUUAAGUUAGCGGCGGACGGGUGAGUAACACGUGGGCAACCUGCCUGUAAGACUGGGAUAACUUCGGGAAACCGGAGCUAAUACCGGAUAAUCCUUUCCUACUCAUGUAGGAAAGCUGAAAGACGGUUUACGCUGUCACUUACAGAUGGGCCCGCGGCGCAUUAGCUAGUUGGUGAGGUAACGGCUCACCAAGGCGACGAUGCGUAGCCGACCUGAGAGGGUGAUCGGCCACACUGGGACUGAGACACGGCCCAGACUCCUACGGGAGGCAGCAGUAGGGAAUCUUCCGCAAUGGACGAAAGUCUGACGGAGCAACGCCGCGUGAGUGAUGAAGGUUUCGGAUCGUAAAACUCUGUUGUUAGGAGAACAAGUACGAGAGUAACUGCUCGUACCUUGACGGUACCUAACCAGAAA